rnacentral:rRNA from 1 species
UACGGAGGGUGCAAGCGUUAAUCGGAAUUACUGGGCGUAAAGCGCACGCAGGCGGUUUGUUAAGUCAGAUGUGAAAUCCCCGGGCUCAACCUGGGAACUGCAUCUGAUACUGGCAAGCUUGAGUCUCGUAGAGGGGGGCAGAAUUCCAGGUGUAGCGGUGAAAUGCGUAGAGAUCUGGAGGAAUACCGGUGGCGAAGGCGGCUCCCUGGACGGAAACUGACGCUCAGGUGCGAAAGCGUGGGGAGCAAACAGG